rnacentral:rRNA from 1 species
GAUGAACGCUAGCUACAGGCUUAACACAUGCAAGUCGAGGGGAAACGAUAUUGGAAGCUUGCUUCCGAUAGGCGUCGACCGGCGCACGGGUGAGUAACGCGUAUCCAACCUGCCCAUCACUUGGGGAUAACCUUGCGAAAGUAAGACUAAUACCCAAUGACGUCUCUAGAAGACAUCCGAAAGAGAUUAAAGAUUUAUCGGUGAUGGAUGGGGAUGCGUCUGAUUAGCUUGUUGGCGGGGUAACGGCCCACCAAGGCGACGAUCAGUAGGGGUUCUGAGAGGAAGGUCCCCCACAUUGGAACUGAGACACGGUCCAAACUCCUACGGGAGGCAGCAGUGAGGAAUAUUGGUCCAUGGACGAGAGUCUGAACCAGCCAAGUAGCGUGCAGGAUGACGGCCCUAUGGGUUGUAAACUGCUUUUAUAAGGGAAUAAAGUGAGAGUCGUGGCUCUUUUUGCAUGUACCUUAUGAAUAAGGACCGGCUAAUUCCGUGCCAGCCGCCGCCGUAA